rnacentral:rRNA from 1 species
UACGGAGGGUGCAAGCGUUAAUCGGAAUUACUGGGCGUAAAGCGCACGUAGGUGGUUUGUUAAGUUAGCUGUGAAAUCCCCGGGCUCAACCUGGGCACUGCAGUUAGAACUGGCAAGCUAGAGUAGGGUAGAGGGGUGUGGAAUUCCAGGUGUAGCGGUGAAAUGCGUAGAUAUCUGGAGGAACAUCAGUGGCGAAGGCGACACCCUGGACUCAUACUGACACUGAGGUGCGAAAGCGUGGGGAGCAAACAGG